rnacentral:tRNA from 1 species
AGGCCGGUAGCUCAGGGGUAGAGCGCGAGCCUUAUAAGCUCGUGGACGCGGGUUCGAGUCCCGCCCGGCCUACCA